rnacentral:lncRNA from 1 species
UUUAAUGCUGCUUCAUAAAGCAUGCUUUUCAUUGUUUUCAUAUCCAGUGCUAUUGAUCUUUGAUGUCUGGGAAAUUUUGCUAGCAUUAAUCAAAAAGUAUAAACUUUAGAUUAAUUAAAGACCAGCAACUCGACCUUCAUACAUACAGAGCGUUGAGUAGACUUUAGAUAAAGUAAAAAGUUGUGUCUAAUUUUUCAAAGCAUUUAAUCUAUUUCGUUCUUAGUUUCCAUCCUGGGGACCUGUACUGUUUGAUAUUUUGAUGUGUUUGAAAUUUUGCUUGUAGAAAUAUAAGACCUGCCUCUUGAAUUUUUUUAUACACGUAGGACCCUAAUGCAUGGGGUUCGGGUAAAAUGUGAAAGAGCUGAUCAAUUUUUUUUUUUUAAAUCAAAUUGUUUGUGGUGAUGUACGAAUUUCUUUAAAAGAGUUUAGGAGAGUGACAACUUUUUUUAAUUCUCAGAAUUUACAGUCAUAAUAUUCAUCAUCUCAUUAACUAGUCUAACAAUUAUUAUUAUUCAUUAUUGUUGUUAAAUGACAAUUAAUUGUGUGAAGUGCUUCAUUACUCUGUUUUGUCUACUCAUAUUUGACACUGAUAGCCCACAUCCCAAUACAACUCUUAAAAUUAAAAAAUUAAAAAUUAAAAACAAUGUUAUUAGUACCUUUCCAUCAUCGUUGGCGCGGCGCUCUACCAGUUUCCAGCAAACGUAGAAGACCAAAACAAUUCUGAUGAAGUUUAACUUGCGAGAAACAGUGAAAAUGUUGAUAAUAAAAACCCGAGUUAUUGUU